UACGUAGGGUGCAAGCGUUGCCCGGAAUUAUUGGGCGUAAAGAGCUCGUAGGCGGUCUGUCGCGUCUGCUGGGAAAACUCGGGGCUUAACCCCGGGCCUGCAGUGGGUACGGGCAGACUAGAGUGCGGUAGGGGAGACUGGAAUUCCUGGUGUAGCGGUGAAAUGCGCAGAUAUCAGGAGGAACACCGGUGGCGAAGGCGGGUCUCUGGGCAGUAACUGACGCUGAGGAGCGAAAGCGUGGGGAGCGAACAGG
rnacentral:rRNA from 1 species